rnacentral:pre_miRNA from 1 species
UUAACUCAAAUUUGUAUGGACUCGGAACGUUUGCCGCUAGGAGCGCUGUUUCAAUUGCAUACAAAUUUGAGUUA